AGUGAACGCUGGCGGUAGGCCUAACACAUGCAAGUCGAACGGCAGCACAGGAGAGCUUGCUCUCUGGGUGGCGAGUGGCGGACGGGUGAGGAAUACAUCGGAGUCUACUCUGUCGUGGGGGAUAACGUAGGGAAACUUACGCUAAUACCGCAUACGACCUACGGGUGAAAGCAGGGGACCUUCGGGCCUUGCGCGAUUGAAUGAGCCGAUGUCGGAUUAGCUAGUUGGCGGGGUGAAGGCCCACCAAGGCGACGAUCCGUAGCUGGUCUGAGAGGAUGAUAAGCCACACUGGAACUGAGACACGGUACAGACUCCUACGGGAGGCAGCAGUGGGGAAUAUUGGACAAUGGGCGCAAGCCUGAUCCAGCCAUACCGCGUGGGUGAAGAAGGCCUUCGGGUUGUAAAGCCCUUUUGUUGGGAAAGAAAUCCAGCUGGCUAAUACCCGGUUGGGAUGACGGUACCCAAAGAAUAAGCACCGGCUAACUUCGUGCCAGCAGCCGCCGUAA
rnacentral:rRNA from 1 species